CGUCGUUUAACAUGACCGUUCAAAUACCGUUGACGUUUGGACAAUGACGCUUACUCGAUCUCACGAGCUCGACAAGCGUGACUCGACGGGAUGAGAGGAAGCAUUAAAGUCGUUCGAUUCAGUAUCAAAAGGAAUGAGAGAAUGAGGCGAGAGAUCUAUGGUAGUACAUAAGAUUUGCUGCUGUAUAUCGAGAAGAAGAGAAAAUG